rnacentral:tRNA from 1 species
GCCGAAGUGGCGGAAUUGGCAGACGCGCAGGAUUCAAAAUCCUGUGUCCUUUACGGGACGUGAGGGUUCGAUUCCCUCCUUCGGCA